rnacentral:pre_miRNA from 1 species
UUAAUUCAAAUUUGAAUGCAGUUGGAAUGUUUGCUGCUAGGGGCGCUGUUCCAACUGCAUACAGAUUUAACAUA